rnacentral:rRNA from 1 species
UGCAAGUCUCAGUACGAGCCGCCUUGAGGUGAAACCGCAAAAGGCUCAGUAAACCGGUCAUAGUUUACCGGAUAUAUGCCACUGAGGUGGAUAACUGUGGUAAUUCUAGAGCUAAUACAUGCAACCAAGUCCCGACCAGCGAUGGGAAGGACGCUUUUAUUGGAUCAAGACCAUUCGCCCCGGCCCGCCGGGGCGUCUGCUUGGUGACUCUAGAUAACACCACAGAUCGCACGGUCACAGCACCGGCGACGUAUCCGUCAAAUGUCUGACUUAUCAGCUGUCGAUGGUAGACUCUGUGUCUACCAUGGCGCUCACGGGUGACGGGGAAUCAGGGUUCGAUUCCGGAGAGGGAGCCUGAGAAACGGCUACCACAUCCAAGGAAGGCAGCAGGCACGCAAAUUACCCACUCCCGGCACGGGGAGGUAGUGACAAAAAAUAACGAUACGGGACUCAUCCGAGGCCCCGUAAUCGGAAUGAGAACACCCUAAAUCCUUUAACGAGGAUCUAUUGGAGGGCAAGUCUGGUGCCAGCAGCCGCGGUAAUUCCAGCUCCAAUAGCGUAUAUUAAAGUUGUUGCGGUUAAAAAGCUCGUAGUUGGUUCUGCGUGCCACGCUGUCGGUUCACCGCCUGUCGGUGCAACUGGCAUGCCGUGGCAUGUCCUGUCGGUGGCCGACGGGCUUCGCGGCGCGCCCCGCGCGUUCACACGUGUGGGUCGUCGCGCCGGGUCGUCCUCGUGGGCCGGCUCAAUCCUACCGCGGUGCUCUUCACCGAGUGUCGAGGUAGGCCGACACUGUUUACUUUGAACAAAUUAGAGUGCUUAAAGCAGGCUCUGAAAGCAGCCUGAAUAGUGGUGCAUGGAAUAAUGGAACAGGACCUUGGUUCUAUUCUGUUGGUUUUCUGAAUCCAAGGUAAUGAUCAAUAAGGACAGGCGGGGGCAUUCGUAUUGCGACGUUAGAGGUGAAAUUCUUGGAUCGUCGCAAGACGCACUAGAGCGAAAGCAUUUGCCAAGUAUGUCUUAAUUGAUCAAGAACGAAAGUUAGAGGUUCGAAGGCGAUCAGAUACCGCCCUAGUUCUAACCAUAAACGAUGCCAGCCAGCGAUCCGCCGAUGUUCCUCCGAUGACUCGGCGGGGAGCUUCCCCCGGGAAACCAAAGCUCUUGGGUUCCGGGGGAAGUAUGGUUGCAAAGCUGAAACUUAAAGGAAUUGACGGAAGGGCACCACCAGGAGUGGAGCCUGCGGCUUAAUUUGACUCAACACGGGAAACCUCACCAGGCCCGGACAUUGGAAGGAUUGACAGAUCGAUAGCUCUUUCUCGAUUCAGUGGGUAGUGGUGCAUGGCCGUUCUUAGUUGGUGGACUGAUUUGUCUGGUUAAUUCCGAUAACGAACGAGACUCUGACCUAUUAACUAGGCGAUCCCGGUAUAGUAGCCUACCGGCGAGAUU